rnacentral:lncRNA from 1 species
UUUAAUUAUAUCAUGUUUAAGGAUGAAGGGGAGAGAGAUGAGGAGUGCUUUUUUUUAUGUUUUUAUGUUUAAUGGUUAUUUUUGGUUGCUAGUAAUUUAUUCGGUAACGAGUUCAAAUUGAUUAUGUAAAUCUUUCCGUUAACGAGUUCAAAUUGGUUAUGCAGCCAACGGGUGGAUUAUUUGGAAUUCUCUGGGCCAACAUGAUGUUUGAAGGUUUUAAGGAAUCUCAAAUCGAAACGCACUGGUGAGAUAAUCAAUAUCAGCAGCAUCCGAGCUGCAAUAUAAUAGUACUGAGAAAGUCGCUUUUGUUGCGGUUAAAAAUUUAUUUUUCAAUUUGUAAGACACAAUAUUGUCGGUCUUGAACAAAAUUGUUUAAUUAUGCUUUGUUUGUAAGACAAAAUGUUGUCGGUUUUAAACAAAAUCGUUUAAUUUUUUUUUUUAGUAUUGAGGAAGUUGCUCAUGUUGCAAAAUUAUAUAUUGUAAGUUAAAGUG